GGGCUCGCUUCGGCAACACAUACACUAAAAUUGGAAUGAUGCAGAGAUUAGCAUGGCCCCUGAGCAAAGAUGACAUGCAAAUUCAUGAAGAACCAAGGAACCAA